rnacentral:rRNA from 1 species
GCAUAUCAAUAAGCGGAGGAAAAGAAAAUAACAAUGAUUUCCCCAGUAACGGCGAGUGAAGAGGAAAGAGCUCAAAGUUGGAACCUGCUUGGCUUAGCCAAGCCGGAUUGUAAACUGUAGAAGUGUUUUCCUGACACGCCAGGCAAAAAAGUCCUUUGGAACAGGGCAUCAUAGAGGGUGAGAAUCCCGUCUUUGGCCUGAGCAGUUGUCUUUUGCGAUACACUUUCAAAGAGUCAGGUUGUUUGGGAAUGCAGCCUAAAUUGGGUGGUAAAUCUCACCUAAAGCUAAAUAUUGGCGAGAGACCGAUAGCGAACAAGUACCGUGAGGGAAAGAUGAAAAGAACUUUGAAAAGAGAGUUAAACAGUAUGUGAAAUUGUUAAAAGGGAACCGUUUGGAGCCAGACUGGCUUGGCUGUAAUCAAUCUGGGCUUUUGCCCGGAUGCACUUGCGGCCUAUGCCUGCCAACGACAGUUUUAUUUGGGGGAAAAAACCAGGCGGAAUGUGGCCCCUUUGGGGGUGUUAUAGCCUCUUGGAAAAUACCCUGGAUUGGACUGAGGAUCGCAGCGAAUGCCAUUAGGCGAGAUUGCGGCGUGCUUUCGCUAAUAAAUGCUAGAAUUUCUGCUUCGGGUGGUGCUAGUGUUUAAAGGUGGAACCCGCGUUGUAUAUUUUUUAUUCGCUUAGGUUGUUGGCUUAAUGACUCUAAAUGACCCGUCUUGAAACACGGACC